UACGUAGGGGGCAAGCGUUGUCCGGAAUCAUUGGGCGUAAAGAGCGUGUAGGCGGUCCGGUAAGUCGGCUGUGAAAGUCCAGGGCUCAACCCUGGGAUGCCGGUCGAUACUGCCGGACUAGAGUUCGGAAGAGGAGAGUGGAAUUCCUGGUGUAACGGUGAAAUGCGCAGAUAUCAGGAAGAACACCCGUGGCUAAGGCGGCUCUCUAGUACGGUACUGACGCUGAGACGCGAAAGCGUGGGGAGCGAACAGG
rnacentral:rRNA from 1 species